rnacentral:rRNA from 1 species
GUAAGGAAUAUUGGUCAAUGGGCGGAAGCCUGAACCAGCCAUCCCGCGUGCAGGAAGACGGCCCUAUGGGUUGUAAACUGCUUUUCCAGGGGGCGAAACUUUCCGAUGUAUCGGGAUUUGACGGUACCCUGGGAAUAAGCAUCGGCUAACUCCGUGCCAGCAGCCGCGGUAAUACGGAGGAUGCGAGCGUUAUCCGGAUGUAUUGGGUUUAAAGGGUGCGUAGGCGGAUCGAUAAGUCAGUGGUGAAACCCUGCAGCUUAACUGUAGACUUGCCGUUGAUACUGUUGGUCUUGAGUGUGGUCAAGGUAGGCGGAAUGUGUAAUGUAGCGGUGAAAUGCUUAGAUAUUACACAGAACACCGAUUGCGAAGGCAGCUUACUGGGCCAUUACUGACGCUGAUGCACGAAAGCGUGGGGAUCGAACAGGAUUAGAUACCCGGGUAGUCC